rnacentral:rRNA from 1 species
CCUACGGGAGGCAGCAGUGAGGAAUCUUGGUCAAUGGGCGCGAGCCUGAACCAGCCAAGUCGCGUGCGGGAGGACGGCCCUACGGGUUGUAAACCUCUUUUGCCGGGGAGCAACGGGCGUCACGUGUGGCGCCACUGAGAGUACCCGGAGAAACAGCAUCGGCUAACUCCGUGCCAGCAGCCGCGGUAAUACGGAGGAUGCGAGCGUUAUCCGGAUGUAUUGGGUUUAAAGGGUGCGUAGGCGGAUCGUUAAGUCUGUGGUAAAAUUGAGGGGCUAAACCCCUUCCCGCCAUUGAAACUGGCGUUCUUGAGUGGAAGAGAGGUAUGCGGAAUGAGUGGUGUAGCGGUGAAAUGCAUAGAUAUCACGCAGAACCCCGAUUGCGAAGGCAGCAUGCCGGCUUCCGACUGACGCUGAAGCACGAAAGCGUGGGGAUCGAACAGGAUUAGAUACCCGGGUAGUC